GCCAAGCCGUAAAAUUACUCACAACAAUCAACGCCUGGGAAUUACGAGCUUAAGCUUAAAACCCAAAGGACUUGACGGUGUCCCAUCCCACUAGAGGAGCCUGUUCUAUAAUCGAUAAUCCACGUUAUACCUAACCAUUUUUUGCCUUUCAGCUUGUAUACCUCCGUCGUAAGCCUACCCUAUGAAUGCUCAAUAGUAGGCCCAAUAGUUCAAACACUACAACGUCAGGUCAAGGUGCAGCUUAUAAAAUGGAAGUAAUGAGCUACAAUUUCUAAUUUAGAACAAACGAAUUACUACAUGAAACACAGUCAUGAAGGCGGAUUUAGCAGUAAAUGAGGAAUAGAGAGCCCCAUUAAACCCGGCCCUGGGACGUGU
rnacentral:rRNA from 1 species